rnacentral:rRNA from 1 species
AACGAACGCUGGCGGCAUGCCUAACACAUGCAAGUCGAACGAGACCUUCGGGUCUAGUGGCGCACGGGUGCGUAACGCGUGGGAACCUGCCUUUAGGUUCGGAAUAACAGUGAGAAAUUACUGCUAAUACCGGAUGAUGUCUUCGGACCAAAGAUUUAUCGCCUUUAGAUGGGCCCGCGUUGGAUUAGCUAGUUGGUGGGGUAAAGGCCUACCAAGGCGACGAUCCAUAGCUGGUCUGAGAGGAUGAUCAGCCACACUGGGACUGAGACACGGCCCAGACUCCUACGGGAGGCAGCAGUGGGGAAUAUUGGACAAUGGGCGAAAGCCUGAUCCAGCAAUGCCGCGUGAGUGAUGAAGGUCUUAGGGUUGUAAAGCUCUUUUACCCGAGAUGAUAAUGACAGUAUCGGGAGAAUAAGCUCCGGCUAACUCCGUG